rnacentral:rRNA from 1 species
UACGGAGGGGGCUAGCGUUGUUCGGAAUUACUGGGCGUAAAGCGCGCGUAGGCGGACCUGCAAGUCGGGGGUGAAAGCCCGGAGGCUCAACCUCGGAACUGCCUUCGAUACUGCGGGUCUCGAGUCCGGGAGAGGUGAGUGGAAUUCCUAGUGUAGAGGUGAAAUUCGUAGAUAUUGGAAGAACACCAGUGGCGAAGGCGGCACUC